CAGCAACCAUCCUAGAAGUGCUAGUUUCCUAGGAUAGCCCAAACAGUCUAGAUGCCUAAAAUGCACCUCAGGUCACUCAGCAGGUUUCUAAUUUCAGCUGCAGAGACAGCGUCCAGGAAAUGAGGCAGACACAUAUAAAGGCCCUUCAGAAACAGAGAAGAUUCCAAAUGAAUAACCACUUGCCUUGAAGGGAUUUCAAAUAAGAGGCUCAAAGAUGGAGAGAGACGAUUAGAAGAAAAUGAUAGACCAAAAAACCCACAGAAGCAGACACAGCCUGAAGCUGAAACGCAGAGAUCAGUGAUGCGAGAGGCAUCCUGCAUUUGAAACUGAACAGGAGCUGAAGAGAAAGGCUUAGGGACGAGCCCAAGGAUAUCUGAUAUGCAACCCCUGUGAAAGGGUUGCUCCACCGCUCCAAAGGGGUCCUGACCCGCAGGCUGAGAAUCACCACUAUAGAACAAAGUUGUCAAUACACCCGACAAGGUGAUUCCUUCCCAGUGAAACCUAGUAAGUGAUCACCAAAUAUCAGCCAGUGGUUGCAAUGGACAGAACAGCCGAGCCUCACAGGGUUCCCUGGCAUGACCUUGCAACCUCAAGGAGCUAAUAGAGGUAGUUAUGGGUCUGGUGGCCACAGGGGACCCUCCACAGUGGAUCAUGAGCCUUGUAAAGUGAAGAGAAAACCAGAGACACCUUGAUUUUGGGAAGAAUCACCAACCAGGAAAUCAAAGCUCAGUCUAAAACUAAGAAGCUACUACGACUGUUCUGUGCCCAAGAGUAUAGCGAUGUAAUGACGGGGCCACGGCCAACUUCUUAUAGCCUGGACCACAGCCAGGGUUCACAAGAGACUACUCAGGAGCAAGACGGUAACUCCUCCCAGAGUGCUACCCACAGUAACAUCCCCUCCACAGUAUGAUUGUCCUUGAACCUUCCAUCAAGCAGGUCACUGUGUGUGUUUAUGUGGGGCUGUGCUUUACUGACACCAAAUGAUACGUGGUGGCACUAGACCGCUUUAAGCAACUGAUUGUUUUAUGCAUGUGCUGUUCGAAUAACUUGAGAUUCAGUGUGUCGAGCUGUAGUUGUUGAUUUAAAGCAACAGCACCAAACCUAGGCAUCGUGUUGUCUACUUUCUAGUUAAAUCAUAAUAUUGAUAUUAGGUGUCCCAAAAAUCCUAUCAGAAUCUACAGUGGAGUAUCCUAGUACUCAGCCUUUUCUCGUGACGGAAACGGUCCAAAGGCAAGUCUUCCAUGCCUUACAGGCCUCAAUGCAGAUUUUGGGACAGCUGAUCCACGUGGUUCCUAUCGGCAGCACAGUUGCAUGGAGCUGGACCAGCAGGGGAAGGUUUGUGAGCAGACGCAGUAAUUCAAUGGAGGAAAGAGAAAGACAGUCUUAAAUGACUGGAGACAAGUCAGGUACUGCACUGAGCCAACUUUCUGUGUGAUCCAGGCCACUCCAUGCUCUGGGACCAAAAGAAACUCAGAACCAGCAAAUGUUCACUGCGUGGUGGGUGAGCCAAGAGCAUUCACCUGAGAGCAGACAGAUGACGGCACCUCAGACCCAUGCAGCCUGGUUCCUGGAACUCCAGGAAGUGUCCCGCAAGUCAGGCGAUCUGUUCCCCAGGUGCUUUCCUCUAGUACCCAGGUCACUGUCAAAAUGUUAAACGUGUACACUCCUCUGGAUGAUGAGAAGAACAGUGUCUUUCGUGUGAAUGAUCUCGGAAUAACUGCAAAGUGAACAUCCUUGGUGACUGCUCUUAAACGCCAAGCACAUGCAGCCCGUCUUGUUUUCCCUGCAGUUUAUCCGCCAUGGUACCAACCCACAUCUACUGUGCCUCAGUCUGAAACCUCAAUCUGAGAUUGUAGGUUUCCAAUCUCAGAGAUAUCUGGGUCCUCGUCUCUUGUACCUGCUGCUCAAAAACUGACAUUGCAAAAAGAGAUAAAAACAAAAAUACCUAGAACAGGAAAUGCCCAGCAAGCAUCGGAGGGGAAUGGGCUUGGGGAUGUCGAGCUACACAGCAUGGAGGCUUCUCACAUAGGAUGCCAUCAGAGGUUCCAAAAUAGUCUAGUGACAUGUGAUCACUGUUUCAGGCCACUGGAGGCAGCACAGUGACACACAGAGGCACGGGACGGAGAGGAAAGAAGCUUGACAAAGUGUCAAGUAUGAGGCUUCUUCUACUGCCACAGACCUGCCUCAGAGGCAAGACCUUGCUGCCUUGCCUCAAAGUACGAUCUAGCAACUCAUAGGUCUCAUCUCCAACAGUUUAAUAACAUGGGGUCUUACCAAAGGAGGAGAAAUGUAGGCCUGCAAGAGGCAUUUUGCAAGAAGUAGAGAUACCUGACAUUGAAUUUUAUGCUGCUUUUAUAUGGGUCUGGGUGUCUGAGUCCUUUUGGUAACCGUCUGUGUAUAUAUAUAUACAGAAACAGUUUGAUUAAGAAAUUGAAUAUCUUGGGGUUGGGGAUUUAGCUCAGUGGUAGAGCGCUUGCCUAGCAAUCGCAAGGCCCUGGGUUCGGUCCCCAGCUCCGGAAAAAAGAAAAAAAAAAAAAAGAAGAAAUUGAAUAUCUUAGAAUUAUUUCCCCUGCAAAGUCACCUGGCCUCACCAAGGCUAGUAAGCAUUUAAUACUGGACAUAUAAAACCUAUCCCCCACCCCAAACCUCAUUACCAGUAUUUGGUAGUACCCCUCCCUACGCUGUGCCUCUCGUGGGCUCUCUAGACUAGUUGGGGAUACUCAAGGGAGGGCAGAGGCUCCAUGAUCCCGACAGAGACUCUCAUAAUCCUAGGCAAACUUCAGGGAUUUGCCUCCUGCCACACGGUAGGCACCUUCUAAGCUCACAGCCAAGUUACCCAGCCGAUAUUUCAGCGGAGACCUGGCUGCAAACUGGAGUGCUUGAAGGUGGUACAAGUACAGGUCAAUGACAGAGCCCGAGAGCAUCUUCUCUGUACCGCACAGAUACAUCUGUUUGGAUAUCCACUCUAGUAAUUCUUAACUGACUAGAUCGCUUUCGCUGUCAAGAUUAGAGCAAAGUAUUUUAUGUGACAUCUGCUUCUGCUAAAUCAGAAUCUCAUUUCCUCCUGAGCUGUCACACGGAGCAUGGGAUACACAAUGCUGGCUGUGCACACGGAAUUGAGAAAGUCACCUUCUCAGAUAAAGGAAUCCUAGCUUCCUUAAUCUAACAAGCCUCUACUCUUCCCACUCAAUAGACCUAUUGAAAACAUGAUGACCUCAACAGCUAACAUCAAAGACUGCGUGAAUUAUGUCUAAGGGCUUCAGGGUGUGAGCCGAGAGAGACCUUAGCCCUCUCUUGCUAAUGGUUAUUACCAAGCAUGGUCAUGGGUGCUAAGGAAGGCAGAGCUAUGAACAGUGUGCCUGUCUUCUCAUCCCUUUAGGACAAAGGAAACAGCAAAUAGAACCAGGGCUCAAGCUUCCUCAGUACUAGGCUCUAACUUGGCCCACUGCUUCCUGUUGCAGAGGACAUUUCUCUACAGACCGUGCUACCAACACUUCUUGAUACUGAUGUGGCUGGGAGAGAGCUAGAGUCGAUACCACACAUGAGGCUAUGCUGCAACUCCCACCUUGGUUUGAAUUUACUAAGUGACAACUAACUCUGAAAAAGUGGGAGAUCUAGAAAGUUACAAUCCAAACCCCAUCGAAAGAUGAACAAACUCUGGAGACUGAAUUAUGGCAUGGUGACUGGUUAACAAUAGUGCAGUCCAAAAACAGCUGGAAGGUCCAGGGGGAGGGUUUCCUACCACAUUAAGCCAGAUACUAGGACAGGAAGCAAAGAGACGGUGACACAUGGUGCAUAAAACCAACCUUAAGCUGACCCAGUGGAGGUUUGCACCUUAGGAGUAUGCACUUUUUCAGAACAAGGCAAGCACUUGAGCACCCCAUACCUUCCAGGAUGGACAGCAAUUGCAAGGGUAGAGGGCUGAGAGUGCAGCCUAGAUAACAAGCAUAGGGUCUGCACAUUACAUCCAAUAUGGGGACAGAGAUGUUUGCUAACAGUGAUGGCGAAGUGAGAAAAAUCAAGGCGCUGUGGUCACAGGUCACUGAAAUGUGGUGGUUUGAAUAAACAGGUCCCCAAGACUCAUAUAUGUGAAUGUUUUGUCAUUACAAAGUGUCACUAUUUGAUAAGGAUUAGGAGGUAUGGCCUUGUUGGAGGAAGUAGGUCUCUGGGAUUGGGAUGGGGACUUGAGAUUUCAAGAGUGAAAGCCAAGCCCAGUGGCUCACUUCCUGCUGUCUGAGGAUCUGAACAUAGAACUCUCAGCCACUUCUCCAGCACGGUGUCUGCCUGGGUGCUGCCAUUUUACUACCAUGACAAUGGACUAAACCUCUGGAACUUAAAUCUCUGAAACUAUCAACAAGCCUCUAAUUAAAUGUGUCUUUGACAAGAGUGGCCUUGGUCAUGGUGUCUCUUCAUGGCAAUAGAACACUAAGGAACCAAGCUGUCAAUAUACCAAGUCUCUGCAGGGCCCCAGAAGGCAACUUGAUCCUUCAAAUGCACAGACGUGGAAACUUCAGGUAGCAUCUCCUCUUACUAGCCUGGCCCCAGGCCAGAAGCAGGUAGACAAGAGGAAUCCCAGCCCUGCUGAAAGGCACAGUGAACUCUGGAAAUCAGAGAUAGGAGUCAAGCAGCAACAUCUGGGGGUGGUUCAGGCUCCAGGGCAAGGACUAGAGUAGAGCUCUGAGAACCACAAUAACUCACCACACUCCAACACUCAAGGGGGUGCGUAGGAACAUCAGGCAACAGAAAGUAAAAUUUGAUUCCUGGGCCUUAAAAUACUGCUCACUUAGAGAGAAGAGGGUGCAAAAAGGCGGGCGGGAGGGAGGAAGAUGGAAAGGGAGAGGGAAGGAGAGGAAGGGAAGGGGAGAGAGAGGUGAGGAGGGAACAUAAUAUAACUGAUAUGACACAUGACCUUGAAUCCUCUUCACUCAAUUCAAAAAACACAGGGAAAGCAUGCACCAUAGGACAGGCAGCCUCUGAGAGCUUCAUUCUGUGUGAUUUUAAAUGAUGACAUUUUAAAAAUGGUCCUUAUAAAGACUACAAAUCCCAUGGCCCACCUCCUCAAUGUACAAAUGUUGUGUGUGAAAUGAGACGGAGGGGUUGACUCCCACCCAGCAGCACGGCUGUUUAUUUCUGCAUCCUGGAGACCCAGCGCUCCUUCCCGGCUUACAAACCAUGUGGAGCAACAUGGACUUGCAGCAAGGCAAAGAAAUGCAUCCUGGUCCGUCACCGUUUAGUUCUGCACACUUUUAGGACACAGAAUGCAUGUUGUGCACAUACAUGUUCAGCAUUAUUACUAGGGAACAUCGAUGUGACCAGGAAGCAAAGGAUGCACCUAGGGAUCCUCCUAGCAAGUGCCUGACCUUCUGUGGACAAGCUGUUACCCAUCCAUCCUUUCUGAAUAAUUUCCUUAACUUGUCUUAAUAAUCAGACCACAAACAUGGGACUCUCUUGACCACAGAGUCCAUAUUUGCCUGGAGUUGAGCUCCAUGGGAAUGUGGUUUUUUCCCCUGUGGUUUGCCUGUUCACACUGAGGUUUAUUUAUACUUUACUGCUGAUAGAGUUCAUUCUUUUAGCUCCUGUGCACUUGGCUUUUAUAUGAAUGUGACUGUAACAUACUCGUUAAUUCGUAUUUCUCAUUUUUGUGUGCAUAAUUCUCACAGUUUUGUGUGUGCAUGUGCGUGUACAAGUUCAGUUGUGUGCACCAAGGUGUCUUCCUUAACUCUUACCCUUUAGCUUAUUUUUUUCAGACAAGAUAUCACUGAACCUGAAAGUCACAGAUUCAGCUAGAUUUGCUGGCUAGCAAGCUCCAGCAAUCCUCCUGCCUCUGGUUCCCGAGAGCUGGGACUACAGGUGUUCACCAGCAUUCGUGGCUCAUUCUGUGGAUGCUGGGGACUUAGGUCCUCAUGGUAAUUCAUGAGCCAUCUCUUGGCCCCUCUAACUCUCAAGGCCUAAUGUGGUUUUGUAUCCUGAAAAUGUUCACUCCAGUCAGUUAUGCUUCAUGGAUGGAGAAUCUAAGUGCAGGUACCAUUAAGGAAGGAAGCUAUGAUAUCCAGUCUUGGUUUUCAUCUUCCUACAUCUGGAAUUGACUAAAACCUAAGCAGCUGCACACAGAUGUUUAGGAUUUUCUUGACUGGAUCAUUUGAAGUGAGAAAAGUCACCCUCGAUCUGGGUACAUCUUUCUGGUGGCAGACCAUGUAUAAGGACGCGGAAGGAGGCAGCCUUUUUGUGUUAGCUGCUUGCCCUCAUUCUUGCUGACAAGCCCAUCCUUUCUGCUGCUGGCCCAUUACUUCACCGGGAUUAGCAAUGACAUCUUUGGAAGUCCACCACAGACUGAAUCACUCUGAGACAUUCAUCUGCCUGGACUGAAGAAUUACAAGGUUCUUGGCCUUUCCACUGGGAGACAGUCAUCGUCAGACUCACUACCCCACAGCCUUGUUCAGCCUCCGACUUAAUCGUGACCAAAUCAAAGCUGGACAGAGAGGCUAGCACUGACCGAGUUUCGCCACCAUUACUUAUGUAAGUAGCAUGUUCUUGCAAGAAAAAAAAUUAAAGUGUGAAGAUAAUUCUA